rnacentral:rRNA from 1 species
AGAGUUUGAUCCUGGCUCAGGAUGAACGCUAGCUACAGGCUUAACACAUGCAAGUCGAGGGGCAGCAUCAUCAAAGCUUGCUUUGAUGGAUGGCGACCGGCGCACGGGUGAGUAACACGUAUCCAACCUGCCGACAACACUGGGAUAGCCUUUCGAAAGAAAGAUUAAUACCGGAUGGCAUAGUUUUCCCGCAUGGGAUAAUUAUUAAAGAAUUUCGGUUGUCGAUGGGGAUGCGUUCCAUUAGGCAGUUGGCGGGGUAACGGCCCACCAAACCUACGAUGGAUAGGGGUUCUGAGAGGAAGGUCCCCCACAUUGGAACUGAGACACGGUCCAAACUCCUACGGGAGGCAGCAGUGAGGAAUAUUGGUCAAUGGACGAGAGUCUGAACCAGCCAAGUAGCGUGAAGGAUGACUGCCCUAUGGGUUGUAAACUUCUUUUAUACGGGAAUAAAGUUAGCCACGUGUGGCUUUUUGUAUGUACCGUAUGAAUAAGGAUCGGCUAACUCCGUGCCAGCAGCCGCGGUAAUACGGAGGAUCCGAGCGUUAUCCGGAUUUAUUGGGUUUAAAGGGAGCGUAGGCGGGUUGUUAAGUCAGUUGUGAAAGUUUGCGGCUCAACCGUAAAAUUGCAGUUGAUACUGGCGACCUUGAGUGCAACAGAGGUAGGCGGAAUUCGUGGUGUAGCGGUGAAAUGCUUAGAUAUCACGAAGAACUCCGAUUGCGAAGGCAGCUUACUGGAUUGUAACUGACGCUGAUGCUCGAAAGUGUGGGUAUCAAACAGGAUUAGAUACCCUGGUAGUCCACACAGUAAACGAUGAAUACUCGCUGUUGGCGAUAUACGGUCAGCGGCCAAGCGAAAGCAUUAAGUAUUCCACCUGGGGAGUACGCCGGCAACGGUGAAACUCAAAGGAAUUGACGGGGGCCCGCACAAGCGGAGGAACAUGUGGUUUAA